UCUUUAUUUAAUUCUAUUGCCUUUUUACUCUUGCUUUAUUUAUUUAGUACCUUAAUCAUCACCAUUUUGCAUGGAAACUCAAUUGAUUUUAAAUCAAAAGUUGAAAAGUGUUAUUGAACCUCCAUAAGAAAAAGUGAUUUAUUGUUAUUUAAAUAACUCUUAUGCCUAUUCUUUAUUCAAUUCUAUUUCAUUUUUACUCUUACUUUAUUUAUUUAGUACUUUAAUAAUCAUCAUUUUGUAUGGAAACUCAAUUGAUU
rnacentral:lncRNA from 1 species